GUGCUCACAGCGGCAGCAAAUGUGCCAAAGUGGAAAAUAGACAGGAGAUUAGCAUGGCCCCUGUGCAGGGAUGACAUACAAAUUUACAAAGCAGUCU
rnacentral:snRNA from 1 species